rnacentral:rRNA from 1 species
UCCUACGGGACGCAGCAGUGGGGAAUAUUGCACAAUGGGGGAAACCCUGAUGCAGCGACGCCGCGUGAAGGAAGAAGUAUCUCGGUAUGUAAACUUCUAUCGGCAGGGAAGAAAACGGACGGUACCUGACUAAGAAGCCCCGGCUAACUACGUGCCAGCAGCCGCGGUAAUACGUAGGGGGCAAGCGUUAUCCGGAUUUACUGGGUGUAAAGGGAGCGUAGACGGCAGCGCAAGUCUGGAGUGAAAUGCCGGGGCUCAAACCCGGAACUGCUUUGGAAACUGGGCAGCUAGAGUGCGGGAGAGGG